CUUCCCCCCGUCCUGUCCUCCCACCAGUGCGCUUCUUUAGUCCCCAGCAGGUCCUCCAGGCCUCUCUCCAAGCCUCCCAAACUGGUAAACCUGGGGAGAGGGGAGAGCGCUCCGUGGCUCCCAGACUGAGGUUUCAGAGACCUCUUGCAUCAAAACACUCUUGAGACUAAUUCAGAGCUGCCAACUUUUAAUUCUGUCUUGUAAAGAUAUUGUAAAGACCAUCACUUCAAAAAGGAAAGACUUGAACAUAAAAAGGGCAUAAUCUCAGAAUUACAUUACAGAAUUGAAGCCCCUUAGAUCGAAGACGUCUCCCUUCGCAUUGUUCACACUUACGUUUGAUCACGCACAGGUGAGACUGGAUCUCAGCCCUCGGGAAGCCCUGGUGUGGGGAGAAGACCCUUGGCAUCAUCUUGUCAGGUUUCUCCUGGAAGGCCCAGACCUCCCCCAGCAGGUUACUGACAGGACCUGAGUCCUAGAGCCCGUGGCGCAGGCUGAGAAGAACUGUGAGAUCACUCCAGCCCCUUCCCACGCCACCAUCUCACAGAUGAACAGACUGAAGAGCACGGAGGGACUUUGCCCAAAGGCUCUCAUCUCUCAGGGAGUUAGACGCAAGGCUGGACCUAGAACCCAGUCUCUGGACUUAGGAUGCAGGGCAGAAAUGUACCCUGUACCAUCACCCCAGGAAACUCCCUAACACUACAAACCAGCCUGACAUCUCUGUUUACCAGAUCAGGGAGUGGUCGGCCUCAUGCCUUUCACUUCAGAGAAGAUUCUGGAGCCAGAAAACCUUAGAUUUGAAUCCCAGCUCUGCCACUUACUAGCUGUGUGACCCUGGAUGAGUUAUGAUGCGUCACCUCCCCACACAUCAGUUUCUGAUUGAAGAUAGUGAUAGAACAUGCCAUCGCCCAGAGUUACGGCAGGGGUUACUGUGUGGCAAGCAGAAUAAUGCUCCCCAAAGAUGUCCACAUACUCAUCCCUGGAACCUGUGGCUUUGCUACCUUCCAUGGCAAAAAAAGAUUUUGCCAGUGUGAUUAAGGACCUGGAGAUGGGGUGGUUGGCCUGGAUUCUCCAGGUGGGCCCAUUGUCAUCACAGGGGUCCUUAGUUAUACAAGAGGGAGGCGGGGCCUCAGAGUCAGAGAAGGAGAUGUGAGGGUGGCAGCGGAGGUCAGGCUCAUGUGACUGCUGGAAGGGGGCCAUGAGCUGAGGGGCAUGGCCAGCCCUUCCCUAGAAGCUGGAGAAGGCAAAGGAUUUUCCCCUGUAGCCUCCAGAAGGAGCACAGCUCUGCUGGCACCAUGAUUUUAGCCCAGUGUGACCCACUUUGGACUUCUGUCCUCCCUAACUGUAAGGUAAUAAAUUUGUAUCAUUUUAAGUAUGAAAUUUGAACAUAUAUGCAAAACUGUUAGAAAGGUACCUCGCACUUAGUAAACAGUAACUAUUGUGUUUUCUGGAA